rnacentral:rRNA from 1 species
AUACAGAGGGUGCGAGCGUUAAUCGGAAUUACUGGGCGUAAAGCGCGCGUAGGCGGCUUAUUAAGUCAGAUGUGAAAUCCCCGGGCUCAACCUGGGAACCGCAUCUGAUACUGGUAAGCUAGAGUUUUGGAGAGGGAAGUAGAAUUUCAGGUGUAGCGGUGAAAUGCAUAGAGAUCUGAAGGAAUACCAGUGGCGAAGGCGACUUCCUGGCCAAAAACUGACGCUGAGGUGCGAAAGCGUGGGUAGCAAACGGGAUUAGAAACCCUAGUAGUCC